rnacentral:rRNA from 1 species
UACGGAGGGAGCUAGCGUUAUUCGGAAUUACUGGGCGUAAAGCGCACGUAGGCGGAUCUUUAAGUCAGGGGUGAAAUCCCAAGGCUCAACCUUGGAACUGCCUUUGAUACUGGGGAUCUCGAGUCCGGAAGAGGUUGGUGGAACUGCGAGUGUAGAGGUGAAAUUCGUAGAUAUUCGCAAGAACACCAGUGGCGAAGGCGGCCAACUGGUCCGGUACUGACGCUGAGGUGCGAAAGCGUGGGGAGCAAACAGG